AUGAACAGCUACUAUUACUACUUGGAGGACUCGCGGCAGUGGUUCUGGUGGAGCGCCGGCUGGCGCAAAACUAACGAUGGCAGACGUUAUCCUGCAGUUAAUAUAGUUAUAUUAACUGAGGUCUCCUUCGACUAUGUGUUCGGCAGAGAACCAUUAACCGAACCCCCUCAGGAUAGCUCUCCCGGAACUGUGAUCUCGAUCAAAGAUAUGGAGGAAUGGCAAUCGCGUUGGGACAAUUCUGCUCGAUACAACAAGCUGUUGGUGUAUGCGUUCUACGACAAGAAUUCCACACUGUCCAAGGCCAUGGACAAGCUGUUGGAGAAACUCGCCAAGCAGUAUAAAGGCAAGGCAGACUUCUGCAAGUUGGACGUCGACAACUUCGAGUUUUUGGCGGGGCUUUGCGGAGUGGAGGGAGCGUAUCCGACGUUCGUGCUAUUCAAGAAGUGCAAGCAGGUGGGCAAGGUCGUCGGCCUCAAGGACGACGAACUCGAGCGGAGCAUCGAGCGAGCGCUAAACUAG
rnacentral:rRNA from 1 species